UACGUAGGGGGCAAGCGUUGUCCGGAUUUAUUGGGCGUAAAGCGCGUGUAGGCGGUUCGGUAAGUCCGCUGUGAAAGUCGGGGGCUCAACCCUCGGAUGCCGGUGGAUACUGUCGAGCUUGAGUACGGAAGAGGCGAGUGGAAUUCCUGGUGUAGCGGUGAAAUGCGCAGAUAUCAGGAGGAACACCGGUGGCGAAGGCGGGUCUCUGGGCCGUAACUGACGCUGAGGAGCGAAAGCGUGGGGAGCGAACAGG
rnacentral:rRNA from 1 species